AUUGAACGCUGGCGGCAGGCCUAACACAUGCAAGUCGAGCGGAGCGGCGGACGGGCGAGUAAUGCCUAGGAAUCUGCCUGGUCGUGGGGGUUAACGUCGGGAAACGCGGGUUAAUCCCGAAUACUAUCAGAUGAGCCUCGGUCGGAUUAGCUAGUUGGUGGGGUAAAGGCCUCACAAGGCGACGAUCCGUAAAUGGUCUGAGAGGAUGAUCAGUCACACUGGAACUGAGACCCGGUCCGUGCUCCUACGGGAGGCAGCAGUGGGGAAUCUUGGACAAUGGGCGAAAGCCUGUUCCAGCCAUGCCGGGUGUGUGGAGAAGGUCUUCGGAUUGUAAAGCACUUUAAGUUGGGAGGCGUUACCAACAGAAUAAGCACCGGCUAACUUCGUGCCAGCAGCCGCGGUAAUAC
rnacentral:rRNA from 1 species